rnacentral:rRNA from 1 species
AUUGGAAGUAAAAGUCGUAACAAGGUUUCCGUAGGUGAACCUGCGGAAGGGUCAUUCAUAAUAAGUGUUUUAUGGCACUUUUUUAAAUCCAUAUCCACCUUGUGUGCAAUGUCAGGGUUGGUCUCUUGAAAAAGAGAUCAGCCCCAAACAUCAACCCAAUCUUAACUCUUUGUCUGAAAAAUAUUAUGAAUAAAACAAUUCAAAAUACAACUUUCAACAACGGAUCUCUUGGCUCUCGCAUCGAUGAAGAACGCAGCGAAAUGCGAUACGUAAUGUGAAUUGCAGAAUUCAGUGAAUCAUCGAAUCUUUGAACGCAUAUUGCGCUCUUUGGUAUUCCGAAGAGCAUGCUUGUUUGAGUAUCAGUAAACACCUCAAAGCCUUUUUUUGUUAAGAGGCCUUGGACUUGAGCAAUCCCAACACUUUUCCUCCAAGAAAAGUGGCGGGUUGCUUGAAAUGCAGGUGCAGCUGGACAUUCUCCUGAGCUAAAAGCAUAUUCAUUUAGUCCCGUCAAACGGAUUAUUACUUUUGCUGCAGCUAACAUAAAGGGAGUUUGACCAUUUUGGCUGACUGAUGCAGGAUUUUCACAAGAGUCUUCAAAAGCUUUUGUUAAACUCGAUCUCAAAUCAAG